ACUGGAAUCCAUGGUCUCCCUGCCUCUCCCGGACCUCGUCUCCCUUAAACUUCUUUAUAUCUCGGAUUGUCCAAAGCUCCAGCAGUUUUUGCCGAAGGAAGGGCUACCAGCAACACUCGGACGGCUUCAGAUCCGGGUUUGUCCUAUCAUAGAAAAGAGGUGCUUAAAGGGCAGAGGAGAAGAUUGGCCCCACGUUGCCCACAUCCCCGCCAUUGAUAUAGGCGACAAUUGAGACCUUCACUCAAUUUUCUCUCUGCAAAACAAAUGAGAGCAGGCGUUAUUCAACCAGGUCUGUCCAAUUGAAUUUGGACUUCAUGUUGGAGACUCUAAGUUUGGAGUGAAUCUUGUGUGGGCACUUGCUAUUUCUCGGUUGUUUUUCUUCUUUACAAAGCAAUGUUUAUAGUGCGAUGAGUGAAUCAAGGGUAACCCAAUGAGAAUAAGGCUAUGGAUCAAGGACUCGCUAAAGUUUUUUAUUUGUUAUAAGAGAAGGAUGAAAAGGGGAAAAAUAGGAAGGUCGAAGAAGUUCAAAAUUUCCUAACCAUGGGCUCAAGAAGUUAUUCCAGGCCAUGACUGAAGUGAAGCCAUAUAUAUGGAGUAUGCCAUUGAGGAUGGAUGAGGGAUGGAAUACAAUCCAAUCAAAUCUUGCUGAUUUUACCAGAAGAGCAUAUGGAAUAGACUAUGUUGAGACAUUGUUAGUCCAGGUUGAUGCAAAUUGCCAGCUGAGAAGAAUUUAUUUCUCUGACCCCCUUUGCUCGGAAGAACUCCCACCAGAAUUCAAACUGUAUCUCCCAAUGCAGAAAGCAUGAUGGGGUUCGUGGCACAGUAAGCUAAGGGACUUGUGCUGCCCAUGUUUUCAGAACACAGUAUCUUCAAAAUUCGGAAUGUGUUUUUUCACCAAGGGAUGCCAUUUAAUCCUGCUGAGAUGAACACCAUCGUUUCUACUUGCUUGAUACUUGUUUAAAAUAUAUCUUAUUUCGUCAACCCCAUUUUGUGGGUGGAAUGGGGAUUUCAUAAUUUGAGUAUUUAUAUUUCAUACUGUAAUUUUUGUGGUCACAAUUCAAUGGAUGUGCUGUUGUAGUGGUGAAACUUCUUCAUAACACAAGGCUGUGUUUUGAGCAAGGAAUCAAAUGAUUAUUUUUAUGCAUGG